AAAAUUGUUAACGUAUCACACAUUUAUAUCCGAUGAAUGGUUUCUAAGUAACAGCCAUUUUAAAUUCUACUAAUCCGCGUGAAAACCAAUGUUAUCACGUAACACGGUUAGAUUAUUCACAUUGAGUAAUAUAGAGAUGUCGUUCGAUUUUAAAUUUAGGCGUAAAAGAUCUACUCCUACUAGGAUGACCAGAUAACAAAGAACAAC